rnacentral:rRNA from 1 species
GUCGAGAAUCUUUCACAAUGGGGGCAACCCUGAUGGAGCGACGCCGCGUGGAGGAUAAGGUCUUCGGAUUGUAAACUCCUGUCAUGCGUGAACAAGGUUGCUUGGAUAAUACCUGAGCAAAUUGAUGGUAGCGCAAGAGGAAGAGACGGCUAACUCUGUGCCAGCAGCCGCGGUAAUACAGAGGUCUCAAGCGUUGUUCGGAAUCACUGGGCGUAAAGGGUGCGUAGGUGGCGUGGCAAGUCAGAUGUGAAAGCCCGGGGCUCAACCUCGGACCUGCAUCCGAUACUGCGAUGCUAGAGUACUGGAGGGGUGACUAGAAUUCUCGGUGUAGCAGUGAAAUGCGUAGAUAUCGAGAGGAAUACCAAAGGCGUAGGCAGGUCACUGGACAGUUACUGACACUGAGGCACGAAGGCCAGGGGAGCGAACGGGAUUAGAUACCCUUGUAGUCC